rnacentral:lncRNA from 1 species
CAGUGGUAAAGUGCCCGCCUCGACUGCGGGAGGUCGCGGGUUCGAUUCUCGCUACCGCCGGGCACCCACCGGUUCGCCGCAAUGGGUACAAGCGUCCCCCGGCCUGGCACUUGGCUUUCUCAUGGGGUUGAUAAAGCUUGGGAAAGGAGCCCGCGCCCUGAAGGCCCGUCGAAAGACUUGCGAGCCAAAACUGUUGACCACUCCGGGGGAAGGAAAGAUCGAC